GCGCAGUUCAGAGAUGGCAGCACUGUCGCGUCGGAACAACCGCAGAAAGCUCGGCAGUUAGGCCUAUUUGUGUGUGUGUGUGUCCGUAAGUGUUCUGCUUGUUUAUGUGCGACGAAAAACGACAGCCAGAUGCCCGAUAACACCUGAGCCGUGUGUGAUUGCCUCGGAUGUGACUGGUGCGACGGCGUGCUGCGCGGACGCACUAUGUGGCUCGUCCUGGAGUGAUUCAUCCCCGGCGAGCGAUAUCUCCCGGCUGGAAUUGACAGAAAAAUCAAGAUGGCCUCCGAGACUCAAUUGCCCCCGGCUGCUGCUGCGCCGGACACCGAUUCGGUGGUUGUGUAUAGCACGAACGCGGUGGAAGAACGGGAGAUUACCGUCACAGAGCGGGCACCAAAACCCAAGCCACCGCCAAUUGAUGUUACCGCAGCACAGCAAUACCAACAGCCGGACAACAAGACGCCCACGACGGUGCAGCCACAGACACCCGGCAGUUCAGCUUAUAAGAGCAAGCUGGACAAGGAGAAGAAGAUUGGCCACCGGCGUGUUGACGAGGAGGGCCAGAUCACUUACAAAAAGAUUCAAACAUCACAAAUUAUAGGUUCAAUUCAACUAGGCAUAGGUUACGCUGUUGGCAGUUUGGCAUCGAAACCAGAGCGUGAUUUAUUGAUGCAGGACUUCGCCAUGGUAGAGUCCAUCUUCUUUCCUGGGGAGGGGAGCAAUCUCACACCAGCACAUCACUAUAGCGACUUCAAAUUCAAGGCGUACGCUCCAGUCGCCUUUCGAUACUUUAGGGACCUGUUUAGCAUAAAAACUGAAGAUUUUUUGAUGUCCUUGUGCCACGAACCCAUGAGGGAGCUGACAAACCCUGGUGCCAGCGGGAGUGUAUUUUACCUCACCAACGACGAUGAGUUCAUCGUCAAAACAGUUCAGCACAAGGAAGCCGAGUUUUUGCAGAAUCUGCUUCCAGGUUACUACAUGAACUUGAACCAAAACCCACGAACACUGCUGCCCAAGUUCUAUGGCCUCUACUGCUACCAGUGUGGCGGCAAGAAUGUGCGUGUUGUGCUGAUGAACAACCUGCUUCCCUCGGUGGUGCCCAUGCACCAGAAGUACGACUUGAAGGGCUCCACCUACAAGCGAAAAGCGAACAAGCAUGAGCGCAGCAAACGCUCUCCGACCUUCAAGGACCUUGACUUUCUCGAGCACCAUCCUGAUGGCAUCCUGCUAGAGGCUGACACCUACAACGCUCUCAUCAAGACCAUCCAAAGGGACUGCCGGGUCUUGGAGAGCUUCAAAAUAAUGGACUACAGCCUUCUCGUAGGCAUUCACAACAUCGACCAGGCGGCGAGAGAACGAACAGAGCAGCAGUCUCAGGGUGCAAAGGAUGAAGUGAAACUUAAUUCAGCUGGCUCGGAAGAAGACUCCAGCUUCAAACCAACAGGAUCUGGGCUGACGCGGAGUAAGUCCGUAAACCGGCAACGGCUGGCGAACUUCUCCACUGCCAUGGAAUCAAUCCAGGCUGAUGUAGAGCCCAUUGAUCAUGACGAGGAUGUUCCAACCGGUGGCAUCCCAGCGAGGAACUCCAAAGGAGAGCGACUACUCUUGUUCAUUGGAGUCAUCGACAUUUUGCAAAGCUACCGGCUCAAGAAAAAGCUUGAGCACACCUGGAAGUCCAUGUUUCAUGACGGGGACUCUGUUUCAGUGCACAGGCCCAGCUUCUACGCACAACGGUUUCAGGACUUCAUGGCCAAAAGGGUCUUCAAGAAGAUUCCCUCUCUGGAUCUCCCUGAAAUCAAGGGCCCUCAUCGCAAAUUUAGAGCCCUGGUCUCUAGUGUCUUAGCACUGAAGCACUCACCUUCAAAAAGGAAAGGAGCUCCAGGGAGAACACGUCAGGUUUCAGCCAACGAACAGGAUGUCAUCAAGGAGGAAACGGAAGCGGACACAUCGCCAGGCAAAGAUCAAGACUCAGACUUGCCAUCAUCUGAGAAGAACUCUGUGUUCAAGUUCAGCGAUGCGGACACGGCAGCCAUGAUGAAGGAAGCUCUGAGCUUGUCUUCGCACCCCGCUGGCACAGAGCGGAGCAAAUCCAACUCCGAACAUGUGUCAAAGUCGGUUGUGCUACGUUCGCCUGCCACUGUUGUCACCAUACGAGCCUCCGAAACAGUCAGCGUGAGCUCCCUGGGGCCAUCUGCCGUGCGCAACCUGACGUGGACUCCCCCCCACAGUGUGGAAGGCUCUACCCCCACGCACACGGAAGGCACGCCUUCAUUCACAGAGUCCAGUUCCAGCGGAGACAUUGCUUGCCCAACGACGCCCCUUAAAAACUGGAUGAACAAGGGGUCGCAGCCUUCACUCGGUGACUCACAACAAGGGCUACACGACAGUGAAACGCCACAGGGUGGACCACUCGUUGUCAUGGAAACGUCAGUGUGACUGAUGCACUCAGGCCAGUACAAAAGCAAAAACCUUGAGCAUUGCCAGGCUUUCGCUGCCUUUGCACAUGUUGGCCGUGCGGCCACUUUGCCAGUGGCCAGCACUGCCUCUGUACGCCACGACCUCCUUAAUCCCAUUAACGAGGAUUGAGUGAAGAGAAAACACAAACAAACAAAAAGGCCCGCCUUGUGAACGACUGUUCUGUGUGCUGUAGUGUUGGUGGCAUCAAGAGGAACCACCAUCGGCCUGCAUGUGUGUGCGUGUCCGUGUCGUGAACGCCCCCUCGGCCUCGUGCGCCCUCCCCACCCAACAUGACGAUGCUGGAUACGUUUUGGAUGUUUCAGUGCUUAAAGUUACAUCCACUCGCCUUCUUUAUUAUUUUUUUUUUGUUACUAUUGGCUUCUUGUCUGCUUGUCUGUCGAUUCUGCCGAAGUCUCUACGAUCAAACCACUAAUAGAUGCAGCAUCUUGAUCAACUAACAGCGUGUGUCACGUCACCAUCAGCCAUGCAUCUGCAGCCUGCCUGAAGCUCUACUCAUGGUCACGUGAUGAAAAUGAAAAGCUUGUGCAACUGCUGACUGUGUCGUCUCAAGCUUGACAACGAGAUUGUUUUGCUGUAUAGUUUGUCUUUACCUUGUACAUGAUACAUGUGCAGUCUUCAUUUUCUUUGGGGUUUGACCUGGCCCCACUUUUUUUACGUUAUUUUCAAUUGUAUGCGCUUAUAAUUGAGAGUAUUGUGUAAGCCACACUGGAACUUUGUUGUCAAAUCACAGUCCUUUGUCUCUAUGUCCAUGGUCACAGCCAUUACAUGUAGUACUGCUGCAUCAGCCACUCUUGGGUGACUAGCGUAGUUGCCUUAUAAAGAAAGGCAGGCUUAUGAAGGUUCGUAAGUUUGUGCGAUAAAAAUAUGCUCUGAAAAAGAAGCAUCAAAGAAAGAAAAGACAAUGGAGCUGCAGCCUUGUUGACUUUCUUUUUAUAUCAUUAUCUAUUUUACUCUGUAUGGUUUCGUCAAGAAUGAUUUCGUGCAGGUGACCAUCUUCUAUUACUGGCUGUAAUACAUACCAUGGCACUGUGCAAUCUUUUCUGUUCUGUACGUUUGUGCUUGCUUUCAGGGAUGUGUAAACAUUCUGUACCUCACAUACUAUAGUUUGGAAUAGUUUUGUUUUGUACUCAACUGUUCUGUUUCAGAAUUUUAAGUUUUAUUUCUGCACUUUAAGAAAAAAUUGAGUAUUUGGGGAGUAUUUCUGCCACGCAACUGUAAUCGUCAUCUACCUCGCAUACUUUCCUCGCGUUAUCACCGCGGCCCCGGUUCUUCCCGGUCACGAACGGCGCUUGCGUUAUCAGUGUGACAUAGCGUUCUUGACAGGAAAGUGACGAGAGCCGGGUUUUCAAGAAAGGAAACGCGAGCAAGCCAGAUGACGAUUGUUGUGUGGCAGAAAUACUCCCCAAAUACUCUAUUUUUCUUAUAGUGUGAGUACACUCGUCUUUGGCUGAAAGUUUGGUGAAAGGGUUGUUGAUAUGAUCAUUUAAACCAUGCUGCCAUCAAAAAAGGCCCAUGAAUGUGGUCCUCUGGUCGCCUCAUUCCCCAUUAUAAGCCAUCCAAUUUUGCUGGGACUAGACUUUCGAUAUUUCAAACUGAAGAAGAUAUAGUAGUAUUUUUUGCCUUUUUGCUCUCAAAAGCAUGAGAAUAUAUAAAAGUUAACUGCAUAUUUGGAAACUCGUAUUUUUUAUUAUUCAUGGUUGAUUUUAAUAUAAGAAUACUUGCUGUUAAAAAGCUGUUGUGAAACUUUAUCCUAUCAUAAUCACUAAGCUUAAGGUUAGAAGCAUUGAGACACUGAACAUUGCCUGGCUGUUUUCAAGCAGUGGUGAGGAAGCAAAAGUGAACAUAGGUUAAACAUCAGUAGCCAGAGAUUAAUGAUCUGUAAGACAGUUGGCUUUGUGUGUCGUUGUAAAUUGUUGUCGUCUUGAAAAUGUCUUCAGCAUCGCAACGCAGUACUGCUGUUAUCUAUAGGCGCGCACCGUGGCGGGGUGAGGGAGUGUAUUAUACUAGUGUCGUCCCCAGUUAAUUGCACCAUGUGAUCCGUGUACAGAGACUGCUGUCACCAUGUAGGUUAUUACUUCACUGUGCCAUGGAUGUUGUCUGCCUUUACUUAUCGUCCCAUUUGUGUGUAUAGAGCAAGAGAGGCCUAGGCGUCCUCUCCGUGCGUGUGUCACAGAUAAGUGCCAGUUUGGCUUUAACUUUAGCGGAGACAUAUAGUUUCACAAGCGUGCACUUCAAAGCCUUCUCAGCCGGUGUAUCCUUCCCCCCUCAGCGCUGUGUAACAUACGUACCCCGGAGGCUCCUGUUUGCAAACUAAGUGGAACAAAGGUGCUAGUGUGUCUACCCGUUUUUAGUGUUUUAAUCAGUGCAAUGUGCCGCGCGAGCCGCAGGAGGCCUUGGAGAAGUUGCAUGAAAUAUUGAUGUUGCAAUUCCAAUCUUCCCAUUGUAAAAUAAAAGGUCUCUUCUUUUUCCA
rnacentral:misc_RNA from 1 species